UACGAAGGGGGCUAGCGUUGCUCGGAAUCACUGGGCGUAAAGCGCACGUAGGCGGCUUUUUAAGUCAGAGGUGAAAUCCUGGAGCUCAACUCCAGAACUGCCUUUGAUACUGGAGAGCUUGAGUCCGGGAGAGGUGAGUGGAACUGCGAGUGUAGAGGUGAAAUUCGUAGAUAUUCGCAAGAACACCAGUGGCGAAGGCGACUCACUGGACACGUAUUGACG
rnacentral:rRNA from 1 species